CUUCUUUGCUAUAGGAGCUGGGCUCUUUAGACUCAGUCUUGACAGAGGAUUCCUUAGUGAGGUGGAUCAGUUCUAGGGCCAGUCUCUUAGGGUAGAACCUGGGUCUAGAGAGUGAGGGGUUCAGCAUAGCUUGGGAACUACAGGACUGACCCAGACUUUCUAGAAAUGUAAAGGGAGUACCCUCAGUUCCCCAGGACACCCUUUGCUUCACGCUCACAUUCCUCUAAUUUUAUUCUGUGCAUGGAAUGUGGCUCUGAUAUGGAGGGGGUCACUCAAGAUGUCG
ensembl:lncRNA